rnacentral:rRNA from 1 species
CAGUAGCCGCGGGAAUACCGAGGGUGCAAGCGUUAAUCGGAAUUACUGGGCGUAAAGCGCGCGUAGGUGGUUUGUUAAGUUGGAUGUGAAAUCCCCGGGCUCAACCUGGGAACUGCAUCCAAAACUGGCAAGCUAGAGUAUGGUAGAGGGUGGUGGAAUUUCCUGUGUAGCGGUGAAAUGCGUAGAUAUAGGAAGGAACACCAGUGGCGAAGGCGACCACCUGGACUGAUACUGACACUGAGGUGCGAAAGCGUGGGGAGCAAACAGGAUUAGAUACCCCUGUAGUCCCUGUCUCUUAUAC